rnacentral:lncRNA from 1 species
UGAAAUCCAAUCUCUAGAACUACGCAAUACACCAACCGCUCCAUUUCAUAACGAACUUCGUACGAACCUUAAUUGUCCAGUUUCCUGGACCAAUUGAUAUCGGAUUGAGUCCAAAACUUUAGGAACAUCAUAAUGUUGUGGGAGGAGCUAAUUGGUGGGUUUUGAGUGCAAUCCAAUCUCUAGAACAAUGCAAUACACUGACCACUCAAUUU